UACGUAGGGUGCAAGCGUUAAUCGGAAUUACUGGGCGUAAAGCGUGCGCAGGCGGCUAUGCAAGACAGAUGUGAAAUCCCCAGGCUUAACCUGGGAACUGCAUCCGAUACUGGAUGGCUUGAAUUCGGGAGAGGGAUGCAGAAUUCCAGGUGUAGCGGUGAAAUGCGUAGAUAUCUGGAGGAAUACCGGUGGCGAAGGCGGCAUCCUGGACCGAGAUUGACGCUGAUGAGCGAAAGCUAGGGGAGCAAACGGG
rnacentral:rRNA from 1 species